rnacentral:lncRNA from 1 species
CUUUAACCUUAAUUAGAAUAAUUAGAGAAGCAAAUAAAUCCAAAUUUCUGAUAGGUAAAUGCUCAAGGUAGUUAAAUCCCUGAGAAUUAGAAACUUACCAAGAGAAUGUAGACUUAAAAGAAUUUUCAAUUUCCUUAUUUAUCUACGGACAACAUGGACAACUUAUGUUGCCACUGACACAAUCAGUUCUCCCAAAAAUCGCAGCUAAUAGGGGAGGCACAAUCAAGCCUUUAUCGUCAGGACUAGACCCGGAGUCCUCCCCAAGUAUUUUGGUCUUCCUUCAAGAAUCCCUUAAGAGAUAAUCAACAUCAACUUAACGCUAAUGACUUUUUAUGGUAUUCAGAAGGUGGCACAUGUUUAAAGAUACUACGGUUUCUAUAGCAACCACAUUGGGUAGUAAUCGGCUUACAACUACGAAUUCUAUUAAAAGUAAGCUUCACACUUACUUCAAAACAUCAACAAUCGCAGGAAAUUUUGCUCAGUCGAAAAAUUCUUAAAUUUGCACUGCGAUUACAAACAGCUGAUUAAAACAAGGAUAUAAUAAUGAGAGCUGAAUGCCGAAGAAUUCAGUCGUCGAUAAUGUGAUCGGAAUAUUCAGAGAUUCAAAGAGCAAACCCUCGAAUAUUUUGGAAUUUUGAAGACAGUUGAGGGUUUGGUCAUAGGCAAAUAAGGAAGCACAACACCCGCCAUUCUCUCCUUGGCGGUCAGAAAUCAACAUGAUAAGGGUGGUGAUUUUACACUUCCCAUGUUUCAAAAGUAGAUAUUUGGG